GCCUGGCGUCGCCGCCGUCAGCCGCAGAGGGGUCGAUAAUCUGGUGAGAAGCUAGACCUCUCCUAAAUUGCAUAAGCGGAAGGAAACAUAGUAAAAGAAUGUGAGGGUAGCACCAGCGAAAAAGCCACUCUAGGCAAAAGGUCUUGACUGGUAGAAGAAGAUGGAGGACAUGAGGAUGAUGAAAUACUUCUCGAAGAUCCCCUAUAACG